rnacentral:rRNA from 1 species
GGACCAUCAUGUCGGUCGUGCCUCGGUACGUACUGGUAUUGUUGGUUUCUCCCUUCCUGAUGAACCUUAAUGCCAUUAAUUUGGUGUUGUGGGGAAUCAGGACUGUUACUUUGAAAAAAUUAGAGUGUUUAAAGCAGGCUCACGCUUGAAUACAUUAGUAUGGAAUAAUGAAAUAGGACGUUUGAUUCUAUUUUGUUGGUUUCUAGGAUCGACGUA